UCACUUAUGGGGGCCCCUGGUUUUAGUCUGGCAGAGAAGAAGUCUUUGGAGAUCUGGGUAGUGGUGGACACACUCUCACUGUAAUACAACCCAAACAUUUUCUGUAUGAUUUCAGAUACUGUGAGAUUAUGACCAAUGCAGUGAUAGAUCGUGGGAGAUAUGCUUGCAAUUAAAAGGAACACUACCUGGAGCUGCUGUGACCACUCUAGGAUAUUGCCCCCAUCCAUCCUCAACUUAGGAAAGUCACUCGGCGGAAGAGCGCAUGCGCGAAGUCCAUUUCUGCCCUGCCGUCGUCGAGGAAGGACCUGUUCAUCGCGGCUCCGGCGUAGAGGUCUCCAUCGGCUGGGUAGGCCUCGACUUCGGUCUUGGGGGUCCAGGUGCGCUCCGGAUGGUGGCGGUCAGCAGCGGCUUCAUCAGGGCGACGAUCCUGGCGGUGCUGGGGUCUCGGCGACGAAAGUAAGUAGCUGGCCCAGUCCCUGCGUUCUG